CCUACGGGGGGCAGCAGUGAGGAAUAUUGGUCAAUGGAUGAGAGUCUGAACCAGCCAAGUAGCGUGAAGGAUGACUGCCCUAUGGGUUGUAAACUUCUUUUAUAUGGGAAUAAAAUGUUCCACGUGUGGGAUUUUGUAUGUACCAUAUGAAUAAGGAUCGGCUAACUCCGUGCCAGCAGCCGCGGUAAUACGGAGGAUCCGAGCGUUAUCCGGAUUUAUUGGGUUUAAAGGGAGCGUAGGUGGAUUGUUAAGUCAGUUGUGAAAGUUUGCGGCUCAACCGUAAAAUUGCAGUUGAAACUGGCAGUCUUGAGUACAGUAGAGGUGGGCGGAAUUCGUGGUGUAGCGGUGAAAUGCUUAGAUAUCACGAAGAACUCCGAUUGCGAAGGCAGUUCACUGGACUGCAACUGACACUGAGGCUCGAAAGUGUGGGUAUCAAACAGGAUUAGAUACCCGUGUAGUC
rnacentral:rRNA from 1 species